AAUCCAGUGAUGGGUUUUUUUGGCUGUGUUACUUUGGGCAGGUUUUUCACAGUCUCUGAGCCUCAGUUUCCGCCUCUGUCAAGUGGAGAUGACCCCGAGCUGUGUGUGGCACAGAGUCAGCGGGAAAUCAACGUUCGUUCUCAUUUAUGGAAACUGAACAGAGCCCCAAGUGGUCUUUCAGCUUUUUCCGUUGUGAACAGUAAUGAUAAAUGGUGAUAUUAACCAAAGACCCGCUGUGGGCCAGGCACUGUGCUGUCACUUCGCAUGCGUGGUGUCAUCGAAGCCUCUGAGGAGUUGCUGUUGUCAUCUGCGUUUUGCAGAUGAUGAGUCUGGAGCUCAGAGACGUUACCUGGAGACACACAGUUAUUAGCGGGUGGUGGAUCGAGGCGUUUUCUUUUGUACCUUCUCCUGAAGCCACUACUGGAGCUCCCACAAUUCUAUUGCCAGUGAUCAGAGAAUGACAACCCCCCCCACCCCCGCUUCCCCCCGGUACCUUGUGGGAAACAUAAGCAGCCAGAUCACAUCCCCAGCACUGUCAUUUAGCGUGGCUGUCCAGGGGCAAACACCUUGUGGAAUUUCUUUUUUUUUUUUAAUUGUUUUAUGCUCCCUUUAAUGUUCAUUUAAGUUCCCCUCCAUAAAAGGCAGUCCCUUUAGCUCUCAUAAAAUUUUAUGGUUUUACUUGUGAUGAGGGAAUGGCAGAAUUGAUUCCCUAAAACCAACUUCUAGUCAAGUUAUGAAAUUAGCCAAUAAGGGAGGCCGAGCCUGUGAAAUGCACAAGGCCAUCCCUGAAGAGGUCAGACAUGGUAUCAUUGGUUCGCUGCCGUAUCUUUAAAACACCCUCAGCUUGGAAAACACUAUCCAUUAGCCGGAGAUCAGAGCAGUGAGAAACCUCAAGAGGUCAAAGGGUCCGUUCCGAGGGCCCCACAAAGAACUCAGCCUCCCAGAAGGACGGUCCACCUGCCAGCCCCGGGGCCGUCUGAGAGCAUCGUGGGUCUGAAAGUUGCUUUGGAGGUGGGAAGUAAAAGCCAGGGCUGAAAUCCAACAGCUUAUGUUACAUCGUGCCAGAUAGGUUUUGAUUUCCAUCAUGUCAACGCCGUAGCCAAGGCAGUGUUAAGGGGGUCUGAGACCCUGAACUUGGAGGAGGGGAGCUGGCUUGUGGCUGUGCUUAGGACUCCAGGCAGUCAGAGGCCCUGAGCACAUCACCACCAAGCCGUUGCCCUCAUCCUGGCACACAGCUCGACUUUGUUUCCUGGCCUUGCUGGUGUCAGCUGUGUCCCGGCCAAUGGAGUAAUGAUACAAGCGACAUUGGCUCUUCUAGGUCUGACCCUUUAACACCUGCCAUGCCCAGCCCUCCAUGGUCCUCCCCUGCCAGUGUGGAAGCCACACGGCAGGGAUGGGAUGGUAGAACCACGAGAUAAAAGGGCCAGGGUCUCUGAGUCACUGCAGGAAGCGAAGCCACCCGAGUGAUCAGCCACGCUCGUUCUGGACGUGAAAUGAGCCAGACCUCUUGUAUCACAUCACAGCAGCCGCCGUGACCCUAACUGAUGCCACGUGUUCGUGCUGUUACUUUUGACAAGGAAUUAUGGCCAAAAGGUCACUGAUAGCGCUGGCUGGUCUGAGAAGCUUGUGUGAUUGAGGUUUGCCAACGCCUUUGGAAACGGGGUCCUUCACUUGGCUUAUGCAACUUGAGAGGGUUCCCGUUACAGGCAGUUCUGGUUAUUGAGUCCAGAAUUUGGUCACCUGAUCUUUAUCUUGGCCGGCUGCAUUCGCCAAGACCUCAUUGUUGCAUAUCUGAAAUCCAAAGGAUCCUUUGUGUAGGAACCUGGGAGAUUUUUCCAUCUAAAUAGCUUAAUUGUUACUCUGCAGGGCAAUCACAAAUGUAGAUUGACUUAAUAUGGCUUGAUUGCUAGUGAUGACUUUGUCUCUCUAAUGAUGCCAGCCUGCAAAUCCCACUGAGAAGGACAUGGGCAAACGCUCCCCUGCAGAUUUUUUUUUUUUUUUUUUUUUUGGUCUUUUUGCCAUUUCUUGGGCUGCUCCCAUGGCAUAUGGAGGUUCCCAGGCUAGGGGUCCAAUCAGAGCUGUAGCCCCCAGCCUAAGCCAGAGCCACAGCAACGCGGGAUCUGAGCCGCACCUGUGACCCACAUCACAGCUCACAGCAACGCCAGACCCUUAACCCACUGAGCAAGGGCAGGGACCGAACCCGCAACCUCAUGGUUCCUAGUCGGAUUCGUUAUUAACCACUGUGCCACGACGGGAACUCCCCAUCUCAGAUUUUUUAAAAAUGAAAAAUGUCCCUGUGACGUAGCUGUGACAUAGCUGUGACUUCCUCUUAGUGAAAUAACAGGCCACAUAGCAGUCAUGGACUCUGAAGACAGAGCAUUCACCCGCCACUGGCGAAAGGUGCCUGUGUCUUUCCCUGACCUAAACAGUUGUGAAGACAUUUCUUCACGAGCUCACAUGCCCUCAUCUGCCUCCAUCAAACAUUUGCUUAUGGGAAUCGUUUUGGAAGAGAGGUUGAUACAGUGCACACAAGUGUAUAUAGCUCCCAAAUCGUCUGCUUCCGACUUUUCAUCUCUGUCACCCCAGCUUUAUAACAAGAUGAACACUCCAGGAAGAAGAAUGGGAGAAGUCCGCAUUUUAAUUUGCAGUUUCUUCAUACACACAACGUACCCUAAGCUCAAUCAAUGCCCAGAAAUAAAGGCCAAUAGAUAAUGAUGUGGUGGGGGGGCGGCACCUGGGGGAGCCCUCGGGUUUCCCACCUAUUGUUUCAGACAUUAAUUAGAAAGAGGGAAUCCGAGGGCAUUGUCUUCCCGAAGCCUGCAGACUCGAUGUUAUCAUUGUGUUUACAGGGGUGGUCAGGUUCCCAGCCCUGGGCCUCCCCGCCCGCAGAUAACUGUCCCAUCUUGAUAAAACAGUACCCUCAGCCCACUCCUAAACACACUGCAGAAGGACCCUCUGCUGACGGCAGGGAGGAAGCCACACGUUAGCAAACAAGUUUGCAGGCCAGGAAGUUUUAAUCAGUUCUUUCGACUCCAGAAGGGAUGAUGGAUGGAGCCCCUGUUUCAGAGGGGUUUCCUUUAGAGAAAACAAUGAUGCCAUGCUCUCCAGAACCUCGCUCGACAGCAGAAAGCUGUGAUUAAUCCCCCACAAGUCAAACAGGGGAAGACUGGCAAGAUGAGAUUAUUUGCUGAGUAUAAUUAGCCACAAUUAUCACCGAAAAGAAUUUGGAGAAGCUGUGUGGGAGUGUCCC
ensembl:lncRNA